AUUCGGUGAUUGUGACCAUCUUUCAAUGCUAGAUUAAAGUUUUCUAUCUGUUUGGUUCCACCCCCUUUUUUUGGGUCCUCAUCCAAUUCUUAUUUUUUGUUUUCCAGAUCUUUUUUUUUAUACCCCUUUUCUUUCGGAUCUCGUAAUUGGAAUGAGUACAAUUUAAAUCUCUUAACGAGGAACAAUUGGAGGGCAAGUCUGGUGCCAGCAGCCGCGGUAAUUCCAGCUCCAAUAGCGUAUAUUAAAGUUGUUGCAGUUAAAAAGCUCGUAGUUGAAUUUCGGGGUCAGUAGGUUGGUCGUGCCACCGGUACGUACUGGUCUCACUGAUUCCUCCUUCCUGAAGAACCGUAAUGCCAUUAAUUUGGUGUUGCGGGGAAACAGGACUGUUACUUUGAAAAAAUUAGAGUGUUUAAAGCAAGCUAACGCUUGAAUACAUUAGCAUGGAAUAAUGAAAUAGGACGAUCGAUCCUAUUUUGUUGGUUUCUAGGAUUGACGUAAUGAUUAAUAGGGAUAGUUGGGGGCAUUAGUAUUCAGUUGUCAGAGGUGAAAUUCUUGGAUUUAUUGAAGACUAACUACUGGGAAAGUAUUUGCUAAGGAUGUUUUCUGUAACAGGAACGAAGGUUAGGGGAUCGAAGACGAUCCNAUACCGGCGUACUCGUAAACC
rnacentral:rRNA from 1 species